AAAAGUCAGCUCAGAGAAGGAGAGAGGCUAGCCUAAAGACACAUAGCCUAGUAAGAGGCAGAGCUGAGAUUCAAAUCAAGGUCUUCAGAAUUCUUCCCUCCUAGAGCUCCAAGAAGUUGUAGCAUACACAGUGGCCAUACUUCUCCAGUGGAUGGGCUAAACCAGCCUGAGGGUAACCUGUCAGUGAGUUGAGGGAUCCUCCUCAAACGUGUGAAGACUUUCCCUUGGCAGAAUGGGCUGAUGAGAGCAAUUUGUUCCAGUGACUACAAAGUUGGUUGAAGCAGGAGCUGAGGAGAGCUUAGAACUUGGUCAGGCACUGGACACACCAAGAUCAUCUACUGCAAUCCAAUGCAGUCCACUGCAUCCUCAGAACACUUCAUUGUUCCUAGCUGUGUGAACCUGGGCAAGUUACUUAACCCUAAUUGCCUCAGUGAAAAUAAGUAAAUAAAUGCUUGUUUCAUUUCUUCUCCACCUGAACCUUCCUUCAACAUUGCACCACCCCUUGACUUCUUUUCCUCUGUUGGUGAGUUCUUCCCAGGAUGAGGCUUGGAUCUGAUCUCAGAACUUCCUGACUCCAGGUACAUCUGUAUCUCCAGCACAAGGUAAGGUACAAGAAGGAAAGGGCAGACGCUCCAGGGCCAUUGCCAGGAAAGCCUCAGAUGGGCUGGUGGAGAGUGGGGCCCAGCAGAACAACCGAGGGCUGGACAAGGCACCCCUUGCAGUGUCGGUGCAGGGCCAGCUGGAGUCUGUGAGUGAGUCUUCCAGCAGGGAGCCUGAAGGUGGCUGGCCCCACACCCUCUUCCUGAGGACCUCCAGGGAGGAAACGUGUCACGUCUGGGAAAUACGUUGACAAUCCUUGUGUGACUUUGGGCAAGUCACAAGCACAGUGCUCAGCACACAACAGACACUCAAGAAAUGUUUUUUGAAUCAGUGGUCUGAAAAAUGAAAGGAUUUGGGCUCAGUGACCUUUGAGGUCUACGAUCCCAUGAUCCUGUGACAUUCUGGAGGGGAAAUCUGCCCUUCUUCAACUUUUUCCCGCUGAUCUAGUUCUCUCCUUCAACCCUGAGUUGAAUAGUUGAAUGAAAACAAAACAAAACAUUAAUUAAGCUCUUCCUGUGUACCAGAACUAAUCCUUCCACAAGACAAGAUUCAAAAACUUGACACAGUCAUCCAGAUUCUGGUAUCAUCGUGGUGGAAGGAAUCUAAAGAAGUCGCACGAGUCAAAGGCUUCAUUUUACAGAUGAGGACUUUGAGA